rnacentral:rRNA from 1 species
UACGUAGGGUGCAAGCGUUAAUCGGAAUUACUGGGCGUAAAGCGUGCGCAGGCGGUUGUGCAAGACAGAUGUGAAAUCCCCGGGCUUAACCUGGGAAUGGCAUUUGUGACUGCACGGCUAGAGUGUGUCAGAGGGGGGUAGAAUUCCAGGUGUAGCAGUGAAAUGCGUAGAUAUGUGGAGGAAUACCGAUGGCGAAGGCAGCCCCCUGGGAUAACACUGACGCUCAUGCACGAAAGCGUGGGGAGCAAACAGG